rnacentral:rRNA from 1 species
CGGGGAGCACCACAACGGGUGGAGCCUGCGGUUUAAUUGGACUCAACGCCGGGCAGCUCACCGGAUAAGACAGCUGGAUGAUAGCCGGGCUGAAGACUCUGCUUGACUAGCUGAGAGGAGGUGCAUGGCCGUCGUCAGUUCGUACUGUGAAGCAUCCUGUUAAGUCAGGCAACGAGCGAGACCCACGCCAACAGUUGCCAGCAUGUCCUCCGGGAUGAUGGGGACACUGUUGGGACCGCCUCUGCUAAAGAGGAGGAAGGAAUGGGCAACGGUAGGUCAGCAUGCCCCGAAUUAUCCGGGCUACACGCGGGCUACAAUGGUCAGGACAAUGGGUAUCGACACCGAGAGGUGGAGGCAAUCUCCUAAACCUGUCCUUAGUUCGGAUUGUGGGCUGCAACUCGCCCACAUGAAGCUGGAAUCCGUAGUAAUCGCGUUUCAACAGAACGCGGUGAAUACGUCCCUGCUCCUU